rnacentral:rRNA from 1 species
UACGGAGGGUGCGAGCGUUGUCCGGAAUCAUUGGGCGUAAAGGGCGCGUAGGUGGCCCCUCAAGCGUGCGGUGAAAGUCAGGGGCUCAACCCCUGAUCGGCCGUGCGAACUGGGGAGCUUGAGCACUGUAGAGGCAGGCGGAAUUCCGGGUGUAGCGGUGGAAUGCGUAGAGAUCGGGAGGAACACCAGUGGCGAAGGCGGCCGGCUGGGGGUGCCCUGACGCUGAGGCGCGAAAGCGUGGGGAGCGAACCGG